CUUUAUAAAUACAGGAUUUAGAGAGGGCGGGGGAUUCUCAUUUCUGCCUUGUCACACUCCACUAUACACAGAACCAGCGAUGGAUUCUCUGUCCAUGAGAGACUCUAUCAGGAAUUUCAGCCUGGAUAGUGGACCUCGUGGUAAUCAGGGCUACUCCCGGGUUCUCCUGCAGCUCUUCGGUUUCACCGGUCAUGGGAAGUCCUCCUUCAUCAACUCCUGUAAGUACGUGGUGAAUGAUGGAGCCUACACGAUGUACGCUAAGGUGGCCUCAUCAGAGGAGAAGCCCGAGACCAUGAUAAGGAAUGCGUACGAGCUGACCAGUGCCAUUAGCAUCGUGGACAACAGAGGAUGUGCGAAAAUGAAUAAGAAUGAGACGGGCGCAAUCUACGCUCAGCUGGGUAACUUUCUUCCCCUCGAUUGUGAAGUGAAAUGGCACUCUGAUUUUAAAGACAUGAUGGAUAUACUGCUAAUUGCGGAAAAGGAGGAACAAUCUGCAGAUUUCAUAGUUCCAGUGCUUGUUUACAGCGCAAAGAACAAGAUGACCCCUGCAGAAGAAGGCGAGCUGAAGGAAAUCAAGAUGAAGGCCCAGGACAUAACAGGUCUCGUGUCAACGCAAGCUAAUUUUCUUUCAACCGGACUACAAGCCCACCGGAAUUCCCGGUCCAGCUUCCUACGAAUCGCUUCACUUCUCCAUUGCUGUUCAUUCCACGUUGCCAGGUUCCAGGUCUCCAGUCCCGGCAGAGAAAUUAGUCAGGGUUGACGGUUGGUUCGGGUAGGUUUGAGAAUCGUUUAUAUUUCACGCUUUUCCAGUUUCUCACCGCUCUUGUCCAGUCUUUUCUAUCGCAAUUCAUCUUUAAAAAAUAAAUAAAAAAUAUAUAUAUAUAUAUAUACAUACUUGUUUCCCAUAGAGGCGGGAGAUGUCCCAAACGUCAGACGUGGAGGAUAACAUGUCAUUGCCCGGGUCUUCGGUGUCAGGAUGCGCCAGUAACCAGUCCCUUAGGAGCUGGACCAUACCUAAGCUCAUCUCGGAGCUCAAUAGGAGAGGGAUUCAUCAUCCCGCAUCAGCGAGGAAGGCAGAACUCUACCGUCUCCUGAUGACGGAGUCAGGGGGUUCAAGCGAACAACCCUCUCUCUCGUCUAUCCCUGCUGCAGCUGCAGUCCACUAUCGGCAGCCUGGCCGGAUCAGUGGCAGAUAUCCAAUCCAGAAUGGGGGAGUUGGAAUCUCGGUCACCGGUGGCGUCACAGUCGCCGGCUCCGGCGCCUAUCCCUUCCACUUCACAGGAUUCGGCUUCAGGUUCUCAAACUGGCAGUUAAAGUGAUCUCCAAUCAAAUUUGAAGAUAUCAGCGCAAGCACCCACAGCAUCUGGGUUAACCCAUUCUUCACAUAGGUAAGUAAAUAAUAUAAUCAACAUAUUAACUGUAAUGUUAGGUGCCAUGUCAUCAUGGCUCACCACACUGAAUUUAUCAGUAUGGUUC